rnacentral:rRNA from 1 species
UACGUAGGUGGCAAGCGUUGUCCGGAUUUAUUGGGUUUAAAGGGUGCGUAGGCGGUCUAUUAAGUCAGUGGUGAAAUACUCCAGCUUAACUGGAGGGGUGCCAUUGAUACUGAUGGACUUGAGUGAAGUCGAGGUAGGCGGAAUUGACGGUGUAGCGGUGAAAUGCUUAGAGAUCCGGAGGAAGACCGGUGGCGAAGGCGGUUCUCUGGGCAUUACCUGACGCUGAGGAGCGAAAGCGUGGGGAGCGAACGGG